AUGAUGGACUAUAGGACAGGACUGCUGCUUUUAACUCUCUGCUGGGCAGGUGUUGAUGGUCAGGCUCUGACAGAAUCUGAAUCAGUGGUUAAAAGACCUGGAGAAUCCCACAGACUGACCUGUACAGCCUCUGGAUUCACAUUCAGCAGCUACCCUAUGAAUUGGAUCAGACAGGCUCCUGGUAAAGGACUGGAGUGGAUCGCUUUUGUGCACACAGGCAGUUCUCAUUUCUUUUACUCCCAGUCAGUCCAGGGCAGAUUCACCAUCUCCAGAGAUGACUCCAGCAGUAAAGUCUAUCUACAGAUGAACAGUCUGAAGACCGAGGACACAGCAGUGUAUUACUGUGCCAGAGACACACAGUGAGAGACAGUGAUAGCAGAGUCAUACAAAAACUACUUCCUUUAUUUACCUCCACCGCUGGGAACAUUCAGGUUCUUCACUAACACCUUUCUUUUAAUAUUGAUCGUGAUUAGAGUUUGUUUGGUGAAACAGGUGAGGAGUGAACACCUGAAUGUUUGAGUCUUAUUUCAGGUAAGUUGACUGAAUGUUGAAUUCAGUUGCAACCUGCAUUGUAAAACAGAAAUUAAAUAAACUUUGAUUAUUAGUGGUUUUCCUUGGAUCUAUUGUUUAUUGAUAAAAUAAUGAGAAUAAUUAAGUCUUUGAUUAAAAAAAAAAGUAACAUUCCACUUUCUCAUUGUUCAUGUCUUUCUAUUAUUGUGGUAAAACUUUAAAACUAUACUUGUCUUCCUGAAGGUGAUAAAUGA